AAAGGGUGCGUAGGCGGUUUAUUAAGUCAGUGGUGAAAGACGGUCGCUCAACGAUUGCAGUGCCAUUGAUACUGGUAGACUUGAGUGGGAUUGAGGUAGCUGGAAUGGAUAGUGUAGCGGUGAAAUGCAUAGAUAUUAUCCAGAACACCAAUUGCGUAGGCAAGUUACUAAGUCUCAACUGACGCUGAGGCACGAAAGUGUGGGUAUCAAACAGGAUUAGAUACCCCAGU
rnacentral:rRNA from 1 species